rnacentral:lncRNA from 1 species
AGAGGUAUCCACGAGGGAGGAGGUGGAUUGUGACACCUGGGAGAAUGAAGGCGGAGAUGGGUGAAUUGCUAAUUCAGACCUUGGAGAAGAGGCAGACGGAUCCAGGGGGUCUCCAUCAAGGAAGGAGCGGUGGCGGACACUAAGAAGUGUAAAUAGGGAAGGGGCGCGGCCUCUGUGUGGUCAGGGCGGACCCCAGGGGUCCCGGACUCACCUUCCGCAUAAUCUUCCGGCCAUAGAAGAGCACUUUGUCCCUCUUCCGGAACCGAUACCGGGGGCCAUCCGGGGCUGGGGUUUCUGGGGAUAGGUGGGGACAGGGGCACUCCGAGCUCUGUGCAGACUCCACCCUGCCAGAGCUGGGGUACCGCGAACAGACGCCAGCAAAUCCCCAUCUCUGCCGCCUCGGGACCCGGGCAUUUGGGCCCCCCACCAUACAGCCUCCCAAGAGGGGCCCCUCGGGUGCUCACUUGGCACUCGCAGCCUCCGCACCACCAGGAGGAUGAGCACGGCCGUGACCACCACCGCCACUCCGGCCCCGAUCAUCACGCCAAGCACCUGAGGGACGAACGGCACUGGCUGCGCACCGCAAAUCCGUCCCGCCGAGCCUUCCCCGGGCGCCAGGACGUCCUGGAACCCAUCCCUCUCCGCCACCUUCGCCCCCGAGGAGUUCGUAGCCAGCCCGUGACUCGAUGUCCCCAUCUGCAGAAUGGGCCAGUGCUGCUCCCUCCCCGGGGGCGCGACUCUUCCCUGAGGCCCGGCGGCCCGCAGUGCAUGCCGGGAAACGUAGUUCCGCCCGAGCGGACGCAGCGCGUUAUCGCCAGACCACGUAAUGCGCGCUGAGCACGCCGGGAGUUGUAGUCCUCUUGGCGCCCCACGCCGGCACCUACCCGGUCUCCGCCCCACCCCUUACCAUUCCAGUUUGCAGCGGAGCCUCCAUCGGUUGAUUCCAGCUGGACGGCCGAUCUGGUAGCCCGGAGUCCUGGGAAAUCAAGGAGUCGAAGGAACCCGUGCAAGUCGUCAAUCUGGGCCCACCUCUCCCCUGCCUCAAGCCCUGCCCCCAGCUCAAGCCCUGCCCUCUGGGGUGGCGGGGGAAGCGUCUCCAGCUGCCAGGGGCGAGGCUAGAGGGGCGCUGCGGGACUAAGGGAUGGAGCAAACCGACCUCUCGGCCCUGGCCAGGAGAUGAGGCGGGUCCCCGGCUUCCUGCUCCCUUCGCCUACGCGUAGGGCCUACCAGACGCCCGCCUGUCCAACCCCACCCCGGGGCCAAAGGCCGACCUGGUACCCACUGUCAGCAGCCUGCAGGCAGGUCCCCACAGGGCACGGUCCUCUGCACCUGGUGACUUCCUCCCGGGUCACUGCCCUCUGCAGGGUUGAUCAAGCCUGACCACCCCACCCCCCAGGCCGCACCCCCUACUCCGUCGAAGACUGAAUGCCCCACCCCAGGAAAACGGGCCCGCAAACCGUGGGGUCCGGGAGUGGGCACCUAGAUACUCGGCUCCCGACGCAAGCCUGCCCCGGGGAAGACCCAGGAGCUGGGAGGCACGGGAGUACUGCCGGGGCAUCCGCGGAAGGCGUCUGAUACCCACGUUUCAGAAGAGUCCUGGGAUGCUUGGGGUGGCGUGGGCUUGCAAGGCGCUGCUGGUUUUUGCCGGGGAUUUACUAUCACGUAGUAGUGAAGUUAUGGGGGCUCUAUGGCACAGAGCAUCACUGGGACUCCGGGACCGAUGGUGGCGCCAUUGCUGGGAGGCGUAACCAGAGACGCUGGGAUUAGUGGGUGGGGAUGCGGGGUCACUGGAAAGUUACUGAGAUUCUGAGGAUUACAAUACUACUGCUGGGAAAACCAGGAGGUGGGUGGGCACAUUCCUGGGGUGCUUAUGAGAGCGGGCCUGGGGAGGGCGUCCGGGCUCCUUGGAAGAUACUGAGAGAUGCUGGAAUAUUACUGGGAUUUUUCUGGGAAGCUGAGGAUGUUUCUGACAUCGCUAGAAUAUUAAUGGAAAUUCGGGGGCCGGGAGAUAGGAAUCCCGGAGACUCCGAGUCGUUACUUGGAAAAUUCCUGGGUGGCCGGUCCUCUUCCACCUCAGGGCACAGCUGGCUACCGGUGUGGAAACACCUGCCGAGACGUGGGGGGUAUGGGAACAUCAGAAAGUCUAGAGUUAACAGGAAUCGGAGGACAGAUCGUGGGAAAGCGGAGGCUCGCUAACGACCCUCGAAGGGACACCCCUGCGAGGCUAACGGAAACCCAGACUCACCCAGGGGCCGCAGCCGGGGUCCACUCCGCGCCAACACCGCUAGCGUUCCGCCCGGCUCCGCAGGCACGGCCCCUUUAAAUUAUUCACUCCUAGUCGCACCGCAGUCCCUCCCGACCCUCCCACCCCUCCUCCCCGCGCCAUGCUUGGAAGGCCGACUGAGGCCGCCAUGCUGAGUGUGGCCGCGCCUUAAAGGGCCUCACACCGCUUAACGCAAGGACUGCUCCUCCCGCUAAAAAUGAAAACGACACAUUUAUUUUCCCUUUUAUUCAACACCCUCCCCACCCAGUCUCCCCGCCCCCAAGGGUCCGACACGAAAGGUCCAGGCCCUCCUCGGGCGCGACAGGGAGCCGAUCCUUAAAAGCAAACCCUACAAAUAAAUAAGCGGGGUCGGGGGCGGGGGUCUCUGCAGUCCAGGGCCUACGGUCCAACGGCAGUCAGGUCGAAUCAAUUCACCAGCAGCGAAUGCUCCUCCGAGGGGUCCCUGGAGGAAGGAAGCAGGGAAGAGGGGCGUCAGUUUUCUCUGGCUCGCUCCCCUUUCCCCAUUCCCUAACCUCCAAUCUGAAUGUGCCAGACCCGGGACUCGAACCUUCCGCAGCAGCAGAGAAGGCUGCAGGCCGAGCCGCUCCCGCGGCGGAACUUGCCGGAGGUGGGGCUGUCCUGGCACUGUGCGAUGUAGGCCUGCAGCUCGCUCUCCUCUGCGCCUGCGCCGCCGGGAUGCUGGGGAGAGAAGCCGGGAGGCUCAGCCUGAAAGUGGCUCCCAACCUCCAAGGCCCUUGAAGUCCGCCCUCCCCUCCAGCCAUAUCUGCAUCGCUUCCCACCUCCGGGCCUUUGCACUUGCUGGGCCUGCUCCACCCGUUGUUCCACAGUUUGCUUGCACAGAGGGACCUUCCCUGACCCCUGAACCUGGAUACAAGCUGUGUCUUUGCCAGUCUGUGUCUUUGCCUUCUGCUGUAGGUCCAGCACCUACAGACCUAGAGCCAGGGCUGACAUGACCUCGAUGCUCAGAAACCAUCUAUUGAGUGAGCUGGAUGCACGCUGAGCACAGCAGUGGGAGCAGGGCCUGAGACUGCCCACCUGAGUGGAUGCAUGUGUGUGAUGUCUACGUGCUAAGGCAAGACAGGAAGUAGUUCCAAGGGCCUGAGUCAAUGUGUCUGUGGGACAGCUGAAUCCAUGCAUGGGGAAAAGGGGGUGUACCCAUCUGCCGGUGACAUUGGAUGUGGCAGGGUCCCAGCCAAGGCUUCCUUCCUCUCACUCGGCCUCAUGGAGGGGCCAUCUUUUCUCCAAGUUUUUUCAGGCUACUAGACCUUUGCUUUAGCUAUUCCUUCCCCUCGGUGCACUGCCCCUGGGCUCCCAUCUCUUCAGUCUAGAGGCGAUGGAAGUAUUCAAUAUCUAUGCUGUCCAAUAUGGCAGCCACCAGCCACACUGGCUUUUGAGCACUGGAUACAGGAUGGUGCAAGUCAGAGGCUAAAUUUGCAAUUGUACUUCAUUUGAAUUAAAAUUUUUAAAAAAU